AGAAUCAACGCUGGCGGCGUGCCUAACACAUGCAAGUCGCACGAGAAAGGGGAGCAAUCCCUGAGUAAAGUGGCGCACGGGUGAGUAACACGUGAAUAAUCUACCUCCGAGUGGGGAAUAACUGAGAGAAAUCUUAGCUAAUACCGCAUAACACUUACGAGUCAAAGCAGCAAUGCGCUUGGAGAGGAGUUCGCGGCCGAUUAGUUAGUUGGCGGGUAAUGGCCCACCAAGACGAUGAUCGGUA
rnacentral:rRNA from 1 species